ACAAAAGGUGUUAGUUCAUCUAGACAGCAGGACGGUGGCCAUGGAAGUCGGAAUCCGCUAAGGAGUGUGUAACAACUCACCUGCCGAAUGAACUAGCCCUGAAAAUGGAUGGCGCUUAAGCGUGAUACCCAUACCUCGCCGUCAGCGUUGAAGUGACGCGCUGACGAGUAGGCAGGCGUGGAGGUCAGUGAAGAAGCCUUGGCAGUGAUGCUGGGUGAAACGGCCUCUAGUGCAGAUCUUGGUGGUAGUAGCAAAU
rnacentral:ncRNA from 1 species